GAUUUGUUCAGGAAUCCUUUCUCCAUCCGCAUGUCAGCUAGAACCUGGGUAUUUCUCAAGCCUCACAUUCAGACAGGUGGGGCUGCUGCUUUCCUUCUCUCCUGGUGUCACUUUAAGGUUACUGCUCAAAGGGACUGAUUCUUUUCUCAAGAGACUAUUUUCUCUGAAAGUUCACAAUGUUCACCUUUCUGUUUGCUUCAAGGAGAACUCUGAAUUCCAGUCGAAAUCCUGCAACUUGGAAGAGAGCUUUCCAAUCUUCCGGAAAUUUUGUGAGGUCAUUUCACAUGUUGGGAAUUGGAUACCAGAAUUUUUAGAUCCCUGGCUGGCCAAGGUGUACACGCAUUAAAAAAAAAAUCCCUGGAAAUCCAGAUGAAAAGAAAGAAUGGAGAGGGAUGACUUCUUGGAGGAGGAGGUCUUACACAGAGGCUGUUUCUCCUUUACGCCCUGGACCCAGACUAAAACAUGGCCUCUCGAGUCUUGGCAGACGGGGCUUCAACACAAUCCCAGUAAGUGGAUCAACUCAAGGCAUGGAGCGACUGGAGCUCCUCUGCCACUUGUUGUUAAGAGAGUGUCACAAUCCGCAGCCAACGUUGCAGCAUCUCCCAGUUCCUGCCACGCAGGCCUCCCACGAAUGAAGAGAUGAAGCCACGUGGAGUUGCUGAAUUAGCUGUUAAUCCAGCUUGGACUGAAGACGGGGGAAGAGGAAAGGGUUAAAUUGGUCUCAAACUGUCUGGACAGAGCAGAGAUCUGGGCCAGGUGAAGGGACAAGAGAGGGUAGGUUGAAGAGUAGGUUGGAGCACGCUGGAGAAAAAUCACUCAAAAUUUGGCAAUGGGCAAAGAAUAAUAUCCGUCCUGGGGGAGGGAGGAGAAGGACCGCGACACGUAUGGUUUUUGACCCUGUGAGACAUUAAGCAGUUUAGAUUUUGACAUAGUGAUCUUAAGCUCACUUCUCUUUCUUAAAUUGCCUAUAAAAUAAAAAAAAUUUCCAAUUGUCA
rnacentral:lncRNA from 1 species